GUAGGGAAUAUUGGGCAAUGGUCGGAAGACUGACCCAGCCAUGCCGCGUGCAGGAAGACGGCCCUCUGGGUUGUAAACUGCUUUUAUCUGGGAAGAAAAAGGCCAUGCGUGGCAAAUUGCCGGUACCAGAUGAAUAAGCACCGGCUAACUCCGUGCCAGCAGCCGCGGUAAUACGGAGGGUGCGAGCGUUGUCCGGAUUUAUUGGGUUUAAAGGGUGCGUAGGCGGCUGAUUAAGUCAGCGGUGAAAGACUUCGGCUUAACCGGGGCAGUGCCGUUGAUACUGGUUGGCUUGAGUGUCGGAGGGGUACAUGGAAUUGAUGGUGUAGCGGUGAAAUGCAUAGAUACCAUCAGGAACACCGAUAGCGAAGGCAUUGUACUGGCCGACAACUGACGCUGAUGCACGAAAGUGUGGGGAUCGAACAGGAUUAGAAACCCCAGUAGUCC
rnacentral:rRNA from 1 species